AUGGUGUUGCUUGACAUUAGGGGUAUGUUGCAGUCCAUGGGCAAAGACGCUGAUUUCGCUCUUCCAUGCAUUGACGAUGCAUUCGACCCAACCGAGGGCGAGGCCAGAGAAGUGAUCGAGGAAUCCAACGUCGAUUUUGACAUCAACGACACUAAAUUGGCUUCGUCGCUAAACUUGGAGCAGAGGGCUGCAUACGACGAGAUACUAGCUUCUGUUGAACGCGGUGAUGGGGGUGUGUUCUUUGUUGAUAGACCGGGAGGUACAGGGAAGACCUUCCUGUACAGGGCGCUGCUCGCCAAGGUUUGAAGCGAGGGAAACAUCGCUAUCGCUACCGUGACGUCAGGCGUCGCCGCUUCUAUCAUGCCUGGAGGCAGGACUGCCCACUCGAGGUUCAAGAUCCCAUUGAGCUGCGACGAUGGCGCCUCAUGCACCUUCACGAAAUAG
rnacentral:rRNA from 1 species